UACGUAGGGAGCGAGCGUUGUCCGGAUUCAUUGGGCGUAAAGAGCUCGUAGGCGGUUCGGUAAGUCGGGUGUGAAAUCUCCGUGCUCAACACGGAGCGGCCACCUGAUACUGCCGUGACUCGAGUCCGGUAGGGGAGUGUGGAAUUCCCGGUGUAGCGGUGAAAUGCGCAGAUAUCGGGAGGAACACCGAUGGCGAAGGCAAUCCCCUGGACCUGUACUGACGCUCAUGCACGAAAGCGUGGGGAGCAAACAGG
rnacentral:rRNA from 1 species